AGCGAACGCUGGCGGCAGGCCUAACACAUGCAAGUCGAACGAACCCUUCGGGGUUAGUGGCGGACGGGUGAGUAACACGUGGGAACGUGCCUUUAGGUUCGGAAUAACUCAGGGAAACUUGUGCUAAUACCAAAUGUGCCCUUCGGGGGAAAGAUUUAUCGCCUUUAGAGCGGCCCGCGUCUGAUUAGCUAGUUGGUGAGGUAAUGGCUCACCAAGGCUACGAUCAGUAGCUGGUCUGAGAGGAUGACUAGCCACAUUGGGACUGAGACACGGCCCAAACUCCUACGGGAGGCAGCAGUGGGGAAUCUUGCGCAAUGGGCGAAAGCCUGACGCAGCCAUGCCGCGUGGAUGAUGAAGGUCUUAGGAUUGUAAAAUCCUUUCACCGGUGAAGAUAAUGACUGUAGCCGGAGAAGAAGCCCCGGCUAACUUCGUGCCAGCCGCCGCAGUAACAC
rnacentral:rRNA from 1 species